rnacentral:ncRNA from 1 species
AUUAAGAGGACAGAUUUGACUGAUUGCAACCUCGCAAAAAAAUGCUAAAG